AGCGGCGGACGGGUGACUACACGUGGGCAACCUGCCUGUAAGACUGGGAUAACUCCGGGAAACCGGAGCUAAUACCGGAUAACCUUUUGAACCGCAUGGUUCAAAAUUGAAAGACGGUUAUGCUGUCACUUACAGAUGGGCCCGCGGCGCAUUAGCUAGUUGGUGAGGUAAUGGCUCACCAAGGCGACGAUGCGUAGCCGACCUGAGAGGGUGAUCGGCCACACUGGGACUGAGACACGGCCCAGACUCCUACGGGAGGCAGCAGUAGGGAAUCUUCCGCAAUGGACGAAAGUCUGACGGAGCAACGCCGCGUGAGUGAUGAAGGUUUUCGGAUCGUAAAGCUCUGUUGUCAGGGAAGAACAAGUGCGGGAGUCACUGCCCGUGCCUUGACGGUACCUGACCAGAAAGCCACGGCUAACUACGUGCCAGCAGCCGCGGUAAUACGUAGGUGGCAAGCGUUGUCCGGAAUUAUUGGGCGUAAAGCGCGCGCAGGCGGUCUUUUAAGUCUGAUGUGAAAGCCCCCGGCUCAACCGGGGAGGGUCAUU
rnacentral:rRNA from 1 species